AGGCGGUGCGCUGCGCUGGCGCAGACUUGCGCAGGGAGGAAGCCGCGCCGUCGGGUCCCGCCGCCGGGAUAUGCUGCUGCGGCCGCUGCGGAGCUGGGCAGCCCGGGCGCUGCGGCGCGAGGGGCCUGGGAGCCUCGCCCCCGGCCAGGGGACGUGGGGGGCGCAGCACCGAGCCUGGCUUCGCGAUAAAGAUAGAGAAAACAAAAAAGAGAAAAAAUCAGUGAUCUGCGUUGAGGGCAACAUUGCAAGCGGGAAGACGACAUGCCUGGAGUUCUUCUCCAACACAGCGGACAUGGAGGUGUUACCGGAACCCGUGCCCAAGUGGAGAAAUGUCCGUGGUCAUAAUCCUCUGGGGCUGAUGUACCGCGAUGCCUGUCGAUGGGGCCUCACGCUGCAGACGUACGUGCAGCUCACCAUGCUGGACCACCAUACUCGUCCUCAGACAUCACCUGUACGGUUGAUGGAGCGGUCGAUUCACAGCGCAAGAUAUGUUUUUGUAGAAAACCUAUAUAGAAGCGGGAAGAUGCCCGAAGUGGACUACGUGGUUCUGUCCGAAUGGUUUGACUGGAUCGUGAGGAACAUCGACGUGUCUGUCGAUUUGAUAGUGUACCUGCGGACCACUCCUGAGACCUGUUACCAGAGGCUGCAGCUGAGAUGCAGGGAAGAGGAGGCGGUCAUUCCCCUGGAAUACCUGAACGCUAUUCACCACCUCUAUGAGGAGUGGCUCAUCAAAGGGGCCCUUUUCCCUGUGGCAGCCCCUGUUCUGUGGCUGGCAACCACGGAGCCUCGUUGCCCCCUUCCUCGGUGACCCAGGGCAUCUGAAGAAACACCGGUCGCUGUCCUGGUCUGUUACACAGUGGUGCCCUUAGGAGGCGCUGAGGUGAUUGAGGCUGACCACGACAUGCAGAAAAUGUUAAAACUCUUUGAACAAAACCGGGACCGAAUAUUAACUCCAGAGACUCAGAAACAUGGUUCAUAGGAUGGGAAAGAUCAUGCCAGAAAAAUGCCUGCUGCUGCGAGGUUAGCUAUUAGGAGCAAUUUGGAAAUACCCACUCUCGGGAGGGCUUGAUAUCUAGCCACGUUUGUUUUCCUGAUGGUCUUUUCCUCUUUGUCACCGUCUUCCUCCUUGGUCUCUGGCCCUUGCGGGUAAAUGACAAAUGGGACCAAUGGGUUUGUCAUGCCCUUUGGUGUUUGCAGCCUUGCAUUCCCACCUGCACCUGACCUGGUGGCUUCCCACUGCUGGGUCCCUGUGAUUAAGGAAAGAGCCACCAGAAGUUAUGCUGGGCUUAGGGUCUCUAACCCUUCCGACUACCCAGGAGGGCGAGGUAGUGGCCUCACAUCCCAGAGAGAAAGCUGAAGCUCAGAGAGGCUAAGGGACUUUCCCAGGGUCCCACAGCCGGUGACAGUGGUGUUGGCACAAGUGAGAUUUUGGUGACUCUAGAACAUUCUCUCCCUCAUCCUGAGAGCCUGUCUUCCUUUGCUAGAGAUCUCACGUGUGUAUGGGGAGAGCCAGCAGUGCGUGGAGCCAGUGUCAUUAUUUUCUCAUUAUCUGAGCAGUUCACAAGGACAGUCGAUGUUCUUAGACUUCCACAAAAUUGUGCCAUAUUUGGCUUGAGCUCAGCAUUCAGUGGUUUCCCAGCAGGAGGCUGCCGUGAUGUUCACCACCGCAGCAUCUGGCCUUCCAUGUCCUUAGGAGAAUCACGCAGCGGGUCCUGACUGGUGCUCGGUCUCCUUGGUGAUGAAGGCCUUGCCAGAGCUGCUGCCAGUUCUCAGUCAGGGAAAUGGCUUUGGUGCCUGGGUGGUUUGCCCAGGGCCAAGCUGGGGCGAGGGGCCAGCAGCCCUGGCUUCUGAGGCCUCCUUACUCUAUUGGCCUCGUGUGAAGAGCUUUGCCCUUGGAAUUACUGAGAGUCUGUGGCCUGGGAGAGAGACACAUGUGGCCUUAAGUAUUUUUAAAAUGUUUUUCUAUCCAAGAGACACUUUGGACCAUAGAGCAUGAAAUCAUCUUUAUUGGUUCAGAAAAUAUCUUAGUUUCACUCAGCUGCAACAAUGCAUCAAAGCCGCAGCUAUCUCUUGAGUCAAGUGGAAAGAGAAAGAAAGAACAUUCUUUUAAGAGGGCAGUCUGGACUGGAAGAUCAGGGCUGGCAAGCAGAGGCUUUUAGAGCAUGGGUGCUCCUGAUAUUUUGGAGGUGGGCCGAGAGAGCUUCAAGAAGACUGGUUGUAGACAUGGGGAAGGGUCAGUCGUGACUUUGGGGAAACAGGCCUCAGCCUCUCCUCACAGUGGUUGGCAUCAACGAAGGUUGGAAGCCUCGUUCUGGCCUCUGCGUGCAGUUCUCUGACUCAGUGUGGGUGACUGGAGCCCUGGUCCGGUCCCAGAGGGAGGCAAGCACUGUGACUCCUGGGCCGGUUCUUGGGCUCCGUGGGCAGGACGAGGGGCAGCAGCCCCGCAGGGACGUGUCUCCACCCAAGUGUCAGGGAUUGACCAGAAGUCUGGGGUCAGGAAGCAGGAACCUGUGCUGCCAGGUGUCGUGACGAGCCCCGGCCGUCUUUGGGAAUUUUUAAGUGAACAGUCCAGGAUUUGCCCCACAGCUGAAUUUGAGCAUCUAUUUGGGGGGAAAUGUGAUUUAAACAAAAGUAAAGUCUUGCCCUGUGGUAGCCAAUAAAUCCUUCACCUAAAACCUGCCGUGAGUCUUAGCAUGCUGCCCCGGCCAGGGAUUUGAGCUCUGAGCAGCAAUAGGAUAAUGUUUUCAUUUGUUUAAGACUCAUCUUUCCUGGGACGUCUGGGUGGCUCAGUUGGUUAAGCAGCUGCCUUCGGCUCAGGUCAUGAUCCCAGCGUCCUGGGAUCGAGUCCCACAUCGGGCUCCUUGCUCAGUGGGGAGACUGCUUCUUUCUCUGCCUCUGCCUGCCAUUCUGUCUGCCUAUGCUCGUUCUCUCCCCCACUCUCUCUCUGAUAAAUAAAUAAAAU